rnacentral:rRNA from 1 species
GACGAACGCUGGCGGCGUGCUUAACACAUGCAAGUCGAACGGAAAGGCCCUGCUUUUGUGGGGUGCUCGAGUGGCGAACGGGUGAGUAACACGUGAGUAACCUGCCCUUGACUUUGGGAUAACUUCAGGAAACUGGGGCUAAUACCGGAUAGGAGCUCCUGCUGCAUGGUGGGGGUUGGAAAGUUUCGGCGGUUGGGGAUGGACUCGCGGCUUAUCAGCUUGUUGGUGGGGUAGUGGCUUACCAAGGCUUUGACGGGUAGCCGGCCUGAGAGGGUGACCGGCCACAUUGGGACUGAGAUACGGCCCAGACCCCUACGGGAGGCAGCAGUGGGGAAUAUUGCACAAUGGGCGGAAGCCUGAUGCAGCAACGCCGCGUGCGGGAUGACGGCCUUCGGGUUGUAAACCGCUUUCGCCUGUGACGAAGCGUGAGUGACGGUAAUGGGUAAAGAAGCACCGGCUAACUACGUGCCAGCAGCCGCGGUGAUACGUAGGGUGCGAGCGUUGUCCGGAUUUAUUGGGCGUAAAGGGCUCGUAGGUGGUUGAUCGCGUCGGAAGUGUAAUCUUGGGGCUUAACCCUGAGCGUGCUUUCGAUACGGGUUGACUUGAGGAAGGUAGGGGAGAAUGGAAUUCCUGGUGGAGCGGUGGAAUGCGCAGAUAUCAGGAGGAACACCAGUGGCGAAGGCGGUUCUCUGGGCCUUUCCUGACGCUGAGGAGCGAAGGCGUGGGGAGCGAACAGGCUUAGAUACCCUGGUAGUCCACGCUGUAAACGGUGGGUACUAGGUGUGGGGUCCAUUCCACGGGUUCCGUGCCGUAGCUAACGCUUUAAGUACCCCGCCUGGGGAGUACGGCCGCAAGGCUAAAACUCAAAGGAAUUGACGGGGCCCCGCACAAGCGGCGGAGCAUGCGGAUUAAUUCGAUGCAACGCGUAGAACCUUACCUGGGUUUGACAUGGAUCGGGAGUGCUCAGAGAUGGGUGUGCCUCUUUUGGGGUCGGUUCACAGGUGGUGCAUGGCUGUCGUCAGCUCGUGUCGUGAGAUGUUGGGUUAAGUCCCGCAACGAGCGCAACCCUUGUUCACUGUUGCCAGCACGUUAUGGUGGGGACUCAGUGGAGACCGCCGGGGUCAACUCGGAGGAAGGUGGGGAUGACGUCAAGUCAUCAUGCCCCUUAUGUCCAGGGCUUCACGCAUGCUACAAUGGCUGGUACAGAGAGUGGCGAGCCUGUGAGGGUGAGCGAAUCUCGGAAAGCCGGUCUCAGUUCGGAUUGGGGUCUGCAACUCGACCUCAUGAAGUCGGAGUCGCUAGUAAUCGCAGAUCAGCAACGCUGCGGUGAAUACGUUCCCGGGGCU